CCCUCUCAGCUCGUUCCAAUGGGCUUCCCUCAGCCUUUCCUUCAGGUAUCGUUUCCCCUCUCAGCUCGUUCCAAUGGGCUUCCCUCAGCCUUUCCUUCCGUUUCGUUUCCCCUCUCAGCUCGUUCCAAUGGGCUUCCCUCAGCCUUUCCUUCAGGUUCGUUUCCCCUCUCAGCUCGUUCCAAUGGGCUUCCCUCAGCCUUUCCUUCAGGUUUCGUUUCACCUCUCAGCUCGUUCCAAUGGGCUUCCCUCAGCCUUUCCUUCAGGUAUCGUUUCCCCUCUCAGCUCGUUCCAAUGGGCUUCCCUCAGCCUUUCCUUCAGGUAUCGUUUCCCCUCUCAGCUCGUUCCAAUGGGCUUCCCUCAGCCUUUCCUUCAGGUAUCGUUUCCCCUCUCAGCUCGUUCCAAUGGGCUUCCCUCAGCCUUUCCUUCAGGUAUCGUUUCCCCUCUCAGCUCGUUCCAAUGGGCUUCCCUCAGCCUUUCCUUCAGGUAUCGUUUCACCUCUCAGCUCGUUCCAAUGGGCUUCCCUCAGCCUUUCCUUCAGGUAUCGUUUCCCCUCUCAGCUCGUUCCAAUGGGCUUCCCUCAGCCUUUCCUUCAGGUUCGUUUCCCCUCUCAGCUCGUUCCAAUGGGCUUCCCUCAGCCUUUCCUUCAGGUAUCGUUUGAUGUUAUUCAUCAUGUCAUUCCUCUGUGGUUCUGGUAACGGUUCUGGUCCAAGGUUAAUGAUCAUGUUGUAGUUCCUGUUUAGAGGCCUGCUGGCUUUAGACUCUAGAACCUUUUGAUGUCAUAUUCUGUUUAGUUUAGCCAGGGAUGGACAGUCAUGAGUCAGUGGGCGUGUUCAGGUGGAUACAUGUUAUGUAGUCAAUGAUCAUUGUUCCCUCCCU